rnacentral:lncRNA from 1 species
CCUGGACGCUAGGAAAAAUCUUAACGCAUUCUGAUUGGACAAUAAAUAGUGUGAAGAUGAUAAUUGGAAUUCCAGCAUAUGCUCCAUGGAUGAUGGGGUGACUUUAAAAAUAUAAGGUAUUAUUCAGGAGCAGAACAUAGGAGCCUGCAUUCUUGAUGAUAUCAUAGCCUUCCUGUAUCAGUCAUGGACUGCUGAUUUCUAGACUUCUUUUAUGAUAAAAGAAAAAAAAAUCUAAAGAAUUGAAACCAUGUUUUUUUUGUCUCUACUACCA